rnacentral:rRNA from 1 species
AACGAACGCUGGCGGCAGGCCUAACACAUGCAAGUCGAGCGCCCAGCAAUGGGAGCGGCGGACGGGUGAGUAACGCGUGGGAAUUUUUCCUGGAGUACGGAACAACCGAGGGAAACUUCGGCUAAUACCGUAUGAUGUCUAGCGACCAAAGAUUUAUCGCUCUGGGGUAAGCCCGCGUCAGAUUAGGUAGUUGGUGGGGUAACGGCCUACCAAGCCUGCGAUCUGUAGCUGGUCUGAGAGGACGAUCAGCCACACUGGGACUGAGACACGGCCCAGACUCCUACGGGAGGCAGCAGUGGGGAAUCUUGCGCAAUGGGCGAAAGCCUGACGCAGCCAUGCCGCGUGAGUGAAGAAGGUCUUAGGAUUGUAAAGCUCUUUCGCUCGUGACGAUGAUGACGGUAACGAGAGAAGAAGCCCCGGCUAACUUCGUGCCAGCCGCCGCCGU